AUUUAAAAAAAAAAAGUAUGUUAUAAGGUUAUCACACACUCAAAGAGUCCCUGUUUCUGAAGUUCCUCCAGCCUGCCGGUUCAACAGUGCACGGCUCCAUCGCUUGACAUUCUACCCAGAAGUGGUCUUCUGCAGUCAGCGAGGAGCUGGAGUUCAAACGCCGCAGCUUUCAGCAGCACAUGAAACACUGCUACUUGGAACCAUCCAGAAGUGUGACACUACAAAGCUCUCUCUCGCCAAGACACCGUCUUCCUGCAGCAGCAGAAGCAGGCCAGUAGAGCCAGGAGAAGCAGCAGGAGCAGAGGGAUGCCGAUGCCCAGAACCAGCCCCAGGACGAGGUCCCGCUGCUUGUUACUCACCCGGCCUUGC